GCUGGGUGUUGUGGUGGGCGCCUGUAAUCCUAGCUACUCGGGAGGCUGAGGCACAAGAAUUGCUUGAACCCAGGAGGAGGAGGUUGCAGUGAGCUGAGAUUGUGCCACUGCACUCUAGCCUGGGCAACAGAGUGAGACUUUGUCUCAA
rnacentral:SRP_RNA from 1 species